GACGAACGCUGGCGGCGUGCUUAACACAUGCAAGUCGAACGGAAAGGCCCUGCUUUUGUGGGGUGCUCGAGUGGCGAAAGGGUGAGUAACACGGGAGUAACCUGCCCUUGACUUUGGGAUAACUUCAGGAAACUGGGGCCAAUACCGGAUAGGAGCUCCUGCUGCAAGGUGUGGGUUGGAAAGUUUCGGCGGUUGGGGAUGGACUGGCGGCAUAUCAGCUUGUUGGUGGGGUAGUGGCUUACCAAGGCAUUGCCGGGUAGCCGGCCUGGGAGGGUGACCGGCCACAUUGGGACUGAGCUACGGCCCAGACUCCUACGGGAGGCGGCGGUGGGGAGUAGUGCACAGUGGGCGGAAGCCUGAUGCGGCAACGCCGCGUGCGGGAUGACGGCCUUCGGGUUGUAACCCGCUUUCGCCUGUGACGAGGCGUGGGUGACGGUAAUGGGUAAAGAAGCACCGGCUAACUACGUG
rnacentral:rRNA from 1 species